GAAGACCUGUAAAAUUUUAAUAUACAUCUUAUGAAUGCAACUCAGACACUUUAAUUAAGAUAAAGCCUUC
rnacentral:tRNA from 1 species